UAAGAUCUAACCUUGCGGUUGCUCAUGUGAGUUUGAUCACACUGUGGGGACACAAUCCUAUUGAUGGCUAUAGCUGAUUUUGUUAAAUUAGUGGACUGAGAUAAGUUUCAAGCAUUUUCAAAAUCUAAGACGCCUUUGUAAAAGUUGUAUAAAGGGUUUUUCUGGGACAUUUUGACAACCCAACAUCGUUGGAUGUGUUAUUUUCUUGUAAACUAUCAUCCUUUAUUCUCGUGAUGUAGUUCCUAAUUUAACUUUUGACUGCAUGUUUGAGUAGGUUGGAAUUUGUGCAACUAUUUCCGCAUGUAAAUGGUAGUUGCAUAUCAUAUAUGUCUCUGGCUCGAAUUAUUCAGUUCUAUAAUUUUUUUCUUCUGGAGAACGGACAUCCCUAGGCGGUUCUUUUCACUUCAA